ensembl:lncRNA
AUGAUGACUGUGAUUUCUCUGAUGAAAGGUGAGGGUGGACACCCAGCACUUUCUAGCACCAUCCAGGAAGAGAGCACUAAAAUGCAAAUGGAGCCUCCUGAAUUUGCUGAUACAGUAUCUUGCCCCAUCUCUCAUCUACAUAGAUACAGUGGAGCCUUCAUGUUUAUUCAGAUGGACCACUUCCUCUCCCUGCCUAAUCUUAUUAGAAUUGAUGGGAACACAGCUGGCACCUGACCCAGUCUCCAAAUUUACAAUGGUGCUGAUUCCUGCCUCAAGCUGGUUGCUGUCUUGAGUGGAAGAGGUGUAUAACCUCUAGGGAUGAGUUUUCUCUGCCUUUCAUUAUCUAUACAGUGAAGGUAAUAAUGUACCUACUUCACAGGGCUGUUAUGUAGUUUGAAUGUAGUACUGCGCUGUUUGUAAAGCACCUGGCUUGCAGCAAAGUAUGUGCACUGUAAAGAUUACUUCUCUUGUCUUCAGGAUUCCUCCCUCGUUCUCAUCUCUGGUGACUUCAAUGCUAAGUGGCUUUAGCAUUGACACAGGAAUUACACUGAUAACACAGCUCUGCCUUCUCUUUGCUGGAGUUCAGUGCCCUCUCUCCUCCAUGCUGCUGUUUUAUUUCAUUGUUGAUGUCUAACCUUUGACUUUCAUUCACAUACUUCUAGUAACUUUGCGCUUUAUGGUGGAGUAAGUGUGCUAUCUGCUCUAUUUGCUUCUGUGAACAAGAAAGAGCAGAGGAGCUAUAAGGACCAAACACUGAGCAGUCUUGUGGCUGAAGGCUUUAUGUAGGCCAUCUUUAAUCCUCACAACCAUCCAUUCUUAGGGACACCAUUAUUCCUAUUUUAUAGAUGAGGUAACUGAGGCUCAGGAAGGCUUCAGUUGCUAGCCCAAGACUGUCCUCCUAGAAAGUGUCUGAGGGCUGGGAUUCCAACCCAGGGCUGACCAACCAUAAAGAUAUUGAAUGAUUUCAUUCACUAUAAAGGAGCACCUCAAAGUUCUCUUCAUUUGGCUGAAAUUUUGCCUCUUAGUUGCUUCUCUUUCUUUGGCAUAAGUGAUCCUCUGUUGUUGUUUUUUCCAAAAGGGAAAAAACCAAUAAUUUUUCAGUGCCUAAAAUUAAACAAGAAGCUUUUAGGAUGAUGUGCUCAAACACUCCAGCAGCUCAUAUCCCAUUUUGCAUUCUUGAGCAAGUCCACAGGCAAUGUCCCCACUGUGGAUUUCUCACUGCUCUGGAAGUGCUUUUCAGUAUUCUUACCAGGCUUUGCUCUGAACAUGACAAGAAUUCAGAAGCCAGAGUCACAUAAAAGCAGGAUGCAUAGUCAGAUCAUUCCAGAAGGUUUAUGUCCAUGUCCAUCAAAAUGUGGCUUUACCCCUUUAACAGAAUAUGUCUGCUCACAAGAGAGCAUAUCCUAUGACAGCUGGGACCAGCCAUCACAGUAACCUGGAGAAACAACAGGAUAGGUAAAAGAUGAUAUGAACUUUUUGUAGAGGAUGCUUACUUUUAGCUGCUGUACAUUGUAACAUCCUACCUAUUUUUAAGAAAUAUGGUAGGCUGAAGUCAUGGCUACUCUUCCCCCAAUCCCUAUUACAGAUCUUGCUCCACAUCCCAGUUCCAUGGCAGGUUAUGUCAUGUGAAAAACUGGCCAAUCAGAUUCUCCCACCAAGGAUUUAGAAUCUCAAGAAUGUGAUACAUUUAUACAGAAGCAGUCAGAGAUUAGUCCUGAUGGCUGUGCUGGAGUUUAAAGUCUAGUGGCAGAGUGGUAAGUGUCCAGGAGUGUCAAGGCUGGUGGCAGCAGUUCAAAAAGACUGUUCCUGUCACAGAAUCUUAAUGGUGUCCAACCUCCUUUGGUUUCUGUCCAUUUUCUGAACUUUGUUCUCCAGGAUCUUGUCACUAUCCUGAGUUUUCCAAUAAUUUUCUAGGAAAUUCUUGUUCUACUUAAGCUAGCCUGAUUUGGUUCCCACAGGUGGCAACUAAAUACCCUGAGUGAUGUGCUUCUCAAUGUCCAUCUGCAAGGCCUGGGUCCCCAGGCAUAUUACCAUUCUCAUUCAAAGGAGAUGCCCUCAGAAGAAGUUGUCAGCAUUUCCAUUAAGUUGGAAGAAAAAGACAAAACGGCUCAUAACUUUAUAUAUAUUUUUAGAAACUUAGCAUCAAGCAGUUAUUUUGGUCAUCUCACUUUAAUUUUGCUAAUCUACUAAGCCAAAAGAGCUGUACACGCAGGAGCCCAGAGAAGGACUUUUCCUCCUGUCUGUCAUCAAAAUAAAAGUUUCAAUAAUCUCCUAUCAAUGCCUAGCUUAUUUCUUUCAUAGGAAUAGAAGAUUUGAGAAGUGCAUUGGGGCAAAGUCCUGCUGUUGUAUUAUUACAUAAAUAAGCUGAAACCCAGGUUCUUAGUGCUUUUGUUCCAACCUGUCCUAGAUGUUUCAUUUCAUCCUAGUCACAAAGCGAUGAAGGAAACUGACAUUUAUUGGAAAUUUGCGUGAUUAAAUUCAUUCCUUAAAUCUGCAUGGUGACGUAGAUAUUAUUGUACCCAUUUCUUAGUGGAGGAAAGAGGCUCAUACAGAUGAAAGAACUUGCUCAGCCACAGGGCUCAUGACUGUGCAGCCAGGAUUAAAAGUAACUCCAAAAUCCAUGCGCUGUCCAUUCUGCCAGUUUUGGGAAAACUGAAGCCAUUGCUGCUGAUAAAUUCAACCACAGGUGAGACUAUCUUGGCCAAAAGAAAGAAUCUACUUUGGCCAAGUAAUGCAUGGAACUAUUUUAAUUGAACUACAUUUCACUUUGAAAGAAUGAUUGUAAUGAAUAUAUAGAUUGCCUAACACAUAGCAGGUAGUAAAAAAAUUAUUAAAUUAGAUUAAAUGAUUUCUGAUUUAUUAAGAGGGAAAAUAGUAACAGAUGUCGAAAUAAAUAAUCCAGGCUGGUGUGUGGUAUUUUCCAUAUUUUUCAGUUUGUUUUGUUGCUUGGCAAAAAUAAAAGUCCAAAUUCUUUCUGGGAUGUUUCAUAACUGAUAGAUGAACUUGGCUUAACUGUUGAUCCGUAGAGAGUGAUUAGAAAUACCAAUAGCCUCAGGGUUAAAUUUCCCAACUUUUGUUGUGGAAAUAUUUAGUCAGCUAAUAAUCUCUCUCCUGCUGACGACUUUGGCAAGAACUGUACCCUUGUUUUUAAAGAAACACAAAAAUAAUCCUCAAGGAGGAUUCAUACCUGCCUGAUGCUCUGGAAGAGCUAGAAUGACAAUGAAGUAGAAUUACAUGCAGGAGGGAAUUUAAAUUACUUGCUGAAUGUAAUUAAAGCAAAAAAAGAAAAAACCACUGUAAACAUAAGAAUCGGCAUCCAUUAUAUGAAUAAAUUAAGCAGAAAGAAAAUUCAUGUGUAAAGUCCCAAAGGAUUGAUUGGAAAUAUAUUUUUUUUUUCUGGAGUCUUGCUAUGUUGCCCAAGCUGGCUUCAAAAUCCCAGGUUCGGGCAACACUUCCACCUCAAUCUCCUAAGUAGCUUGGACUAGAGGUAUGCAAUGCUAUAGCCAGCCUGGAAAUUUAAAAAAUGUGAUCUCUGCGAGGGAGAGUAAAAGCAGCUUAAAAAUAUUUCUAUUUGAGGCCAGCCCCAUUUAUCCAUCCAUCCAUCCUGAAUACAUAUUGCACUUCCAUUGAGGAGAACAGAAAGAUAUGAAGACAGGCUGUUCCCCUUGAGGAGCUCAAUGUAAGUAACACAAUUUAUUCUUUGUAAUUUUUAAGCUAAUAUUUAUUUAGCAUUUACUAUGCAACAUGCACUAUGCUUAAAAAGCAGGAAAAAAAUCCCAUUCAACUUUCACAACUACCCCAUGAAAAUACGGUUAUUUCCAUUUUCCUUCCAGGAAACUAAGGUGCAGAAAAGUUACAUAAUGUAUACAUAUACAGUGAGCUAAUGAGUCCAAGUCCAUCUGAUUCCAAAAUCAAGGGCAUGCUUUUAAGUACUGUGCUAUAAUGCCAGUUUAUAGAGGCACAAAAUCAGAACACAAACUAGGUUCUAUAUCUGGCAAAUAGUGAUAGUUAUAUUUUUAGAAUGUGAAAAUUAUAAUCCUUAUAAGGUGUGUGUGUGUGUGUGUAUGUGUGUGUGUGUGUGUGUGUGUGUGUGUGUGUGUUUCCUGAAGGAUUAGUAUAAACUCUUGGAGGGAGGAUUAAGGAAGAAAAGGUAUGGAUCAAGAAAUGCUUUAUGAAUUAUUGGCAGUAAGUCUGAUCCUUAAAAAAUGGAUAGAAGGAGACUAUCUGGUAAGAGAGAACAGUGUAAGCAAACGCGUAGAGAGAAAAAUGUGUUCUAAGGGCUUGUGAAGAAGGGGCCAUCCAGAAAGUAUUAUCAAAGUACCUGUCUUGCAUCCGAAUAGAUCUUCUUUGGUUGCUAAAAGUCUAAACUUCCACCAUUUGAGAAAUAUGCCUUUUGACAUUAGAGCUUCCAGUCUUUGUUCUGUCAACAAGAGUAUCCUAUUAAACACCAGAACUCCUGGGAGAGCUGAUUAAGCAAUUUGUUCUCAACUAUGAAAUUAAAAUCCUGGCAGGAAAAAGACGGCAUGUUGACGUUCUUAUUCAGGUACUAUUUCAAAGAUAUGGACGAUAUUAAAGGAGACCAAGAAGGGCUGGUUAAGAAUCCCAGGGAAUAGCAACAGGGAAGCUCCCAUCCUUCCUCCCUCCUCCCCUGGUGAGGCGAGAGCCAUUCCUGGAUCCCCAAGAGAGCUGCAGAUGCAACUCAGGUUGCAGAUGUGGAAACAGGAUGCCCAUCAGGAGUUGAGCGGACUUUGAAAGGGGAGCCCAGGCCAACAGAGAAAGAGAUGAAAACAAAUACACUAAGCUCUCCUCCUGUCUUUCUGUGUGCUGAUGGUGUCUCCCACUGGUCAGACCCAACA